rnacentral:rRNA from 1 species
AUUGAACGCUGGCGGCAUGCCUUACACAUGCAAGUCGAACGGCAGCACGGGUGCUUGCACCUGGUGGCGAGUGGCGAACGGGUGAGUAAUAUAUCGGAACGUACCUUAUUGUGGGGGAUAACGCAGCGAAAGCUGUGCUAAUACCGCAUAAUCCCUAAGGGGGAAAGCGGGGGACCGUAAGGCCUCGCGCAAUUAGAGCGGCCGAUACCUGAUUAGCUAGUUGGUGAGGUAAAGGCUCACCAAGGCAACGAUCAGUAGCUGGUCUGAGAGGACGAUCAGCCACACUGGGACUGAGACACGGCCCAGACUCCUACGGGAGGCAGCAGUGGGGAAUUUUGGGCAAUGGGGGCAACCCUGAUCCAGCAAUGCCGCGUGAGUGAAGAAGGCCUUCGGGUUGUAAAGCUCUUUUGUCAGGGAAGAAACAGCAGCUCUAACACAGUUUGCGAAUGACGGUACCUGAAGAAUAAGCACCGGCUAACUACGUGCCAGCAGCCGCGGUAA